UGAUAACUGUUAACUGUCAAAUGACAGAAACAUUCUUUUCAAAAAUCUAUAGCACAACAUUUCAAUUUUAUUUUACAAAGUACGCUCGUUCUCCUGCAUUGCAGUGUCUUUAAAAUUUAUUGAUUAAAACAUAAAAUGCAAGCCGUCAGAAGCCUUUUUAGGACGACUCAAGUCGUCAAGAAUGCUCCGCAGGUCAGAAAUAUGAGUGUGGUCUGUAUUCCAACCAGAAACAAGGUUUCCAAGGGGGAAAUGAUCACACUUUCCAUUGGUAUGGUGUGCGGUUGGUUGUUCAUUCCUGGGUGGGUUCUGGUCCACAUGAAAGACUACCGUAACAAAGAAUAAAUGCUAAUAUUAAUGUAUUAUUGUAGUGUAUUACGUAAAAUAAAAUUUAAAAAGUA